ACUGUCAGCUCAGAACAAGGGAUCCAAAGAUGACCUUUCUUGUUUUCCAAAGACCUGCUGUCAGCUGAGGCCUUUCAAGGCCCUGUAUAUCCAUGGUGAAUUCCUGGAAGGCAGCUUGAAGUAACCACUGAAUGGGUUUGGUUUCUUUUUUUUUUUAAUUAUCUAAGCAAAGCACCUUUCUCCAAAAAGAGCAAAUUCACUUGUGGGUCACUUCCUGUGGGAAGAUGGAAAAUGUUCUUACUUGGGAGUAGAUGGGGAGAGCAGGCCCAGCUCCAAUAGCUUGCUGGUGCCACUGAGAUUCUUGAGCCUGGAGGAUCCUGGCUGACUUGCUCCAGACCUGGCGGAGGGUCUGUCUCAGUCACGGUUCUCCCCAGCGAUGACCGAGAACUGGUCCCAGUUCCUGACAUGCUGUGGGUCCAGUGUGACCCACAAUCUGCCUGGCCCAUCCCCUCGGCGGGCGCACCUCUCCUAGUGUAGGAUGAAGCAUAAAUGGCAGAAACCAGCAGGCGCCGCUUCUGUGUCCACCGAGUCAGCUGGGAUCCAUGCAGCUGGUGGCUUGUCGGUGGCAGGCCAAGGCCUGAGUCAUGUCCCCGUCACAGCCUUCAGUGGAGGGCUGACCCACAGAGGAAAUUACACAGCACUCUGUGGCCCAUGAUGGAGUCAGGGGCUUUUCCAAGGGCAUCAACUGGGAAGGCAGAAAGAAGUCAUCACCCACGCUGGAGUCUAAGGCUUGGGGACCCCCACUUACUCCAGGGGAGAAGGCCUGGUGACCUCGGGGACAGCGAGGCCUGUGCAAACCUCUUCCACAGCCCUCCACUGGCCAGCAGGGUGCCCACAGUCCCGACCCCUCUGUGACAGCGCUGCAUGCUCACCGAGCCAGCCUUGCCCCACAUGGUUCCUUGGGCUGCAGCCAGAAGUCCAUCCGCAGCCUUUUACCCAGAUCCACACCAGCCCCAACCCUCAGUCAGAAAACACAGCACCUCCAAUGGAGCCAGAGGCCACCCCUCUCAGAUAGCUGUGUGACUCUGGCAACUAAAUUCAACUCUGUGGGCAUCAGUCUCUUCAUCUGUAAAAUGGGUCUUGAACACGGGGCUUCAGUCUCUUCAUCUAUAAAAUGGGUCUUGAACACCUACCUGACCAACUUGUGGUGAAGAUGAAAUGAAACUAUGCAAAGGCCUGGCAUAGAGCCGGCACACAGUGGGUUCUCUGUACAUGGUCCUCGCUCUCAGCCUGCUCUGUUGCAAAAUCCAGGUUGGCACUACCCCCCAGGGCUCAGCCCUCAGCGUUAUCCCUUUCCUUCCCCAUACCCAGUCUCCCAACCCUUCGUGCAAGUGUGUGGUGGAG
rnacentral:lncRNA from 1 species